GUAGGUGGCAAGCGUUGUCCGGAAUUAUUGGGCGUAAAGCGCGCGCAGGCGGUUCUUUAAGUCUGAUGUGAAAGCCCACGGCUCAACCGUGGAGGGUCAUUGGAAACUGGAGAACUUGAGUACAGAAGGGGAAAGCGGAAUUCCACGUGUAGCGGUGAAAUGCGUAGAGAUGUGGAGGAACACCAGUGGCGAAGGCGGCUUUCUGGUCUGUAACUGACGCUGAGGCGCGAAAGCGUGGGGAGCAAACAGGGAUUAGAUACCCUGGUAGUCCACGCCGUAAACGAUGAGUGCUAAGUGUUAGGGGGUUUCCGCCCCCUUAGUGCUGCAGCUAACGCAUUAAGCACUCCGCCUGGGGAUACGGCCGCAAGGCUG
rnacentral:rRNA from 1 species